rnacentral:rRNA from 1 species
GUAUUCCUACGGGGGGCAGCAGUGAGGAAUAUUGGUCAAUGGGGGGAACCCUGAUCCAGCGACGCCGCGUGAGUGAAGAAGUAUUUCGGUAUGUAAAGCUCUGUCAGCAGGGAAGAAAGCAAUGACGGUACCUGACCAAGAAGCCCCGGCUAACUACGUGCCAGCAGCCGCGGUAAUACGUAGGGGGCAAGCGUUAUCCGGAAUUACUGGGUGUAAAGGGAGCGUAGACGGCUGUGCAAGUCUGGAGUGAAAGCCCGGGGCCCAACCCCGGGACUGCUUUGGAAACUGUGUAACUGGCGUACAGG